GUAGGGACCAAGCGUUGUUCGGAUUUACUGGGCGUAAAGGGCGCGUAGGCGGCGUGGUAAGUCACUUGUGAAAUCUCUGAGCUUAACUCAGAACGGCCAAGUGAUACUGCUGUGCUAGAGUGCAGAAGGGGCAAUCGGAAUUCUUGGUGUAGCGGUGAAAUGCGUAGAUAUCAAGAGGAACACCUGAGGUGAAGACGGGUUGCUGGGCUGACACUGACGCUGAGGCGCGAAAGCCAGGGGAGCAAACGGGAUUAGAUACCCCGGUAGUCCUGGCCCUAAACGAUGAAUACUUGGUGUCUGGAAUUAUUAUUGUUCCGGGUGCCGUCGCUAACGUUUUAAGUAUUCCGCCUGGGGAGUACGCACGCAAGUGUG
rnacentral:rRNA from 1 species